rnacentral:rRNA from 1 species
GAUGAACGCUGGCGGCGUGCCUAAUACAUGCAAGUCGAGCGAACGGAUGAGAAGCUUGCUUCUCUGAUGUUAGCGGCGGACGGGUGAGUAACACGUGGAUAACCUACCUAUAAGACUGGGAUAACUUCGGGAAACCGGAGCUAAUACCGGAUAAUAUUUUGAACCGCAUGGUUCAGAAGUGAAAGACGGUCUUGCUGUCACUUAUAGAUGGAUCCGCGCUGCAUUAGCUAGUUGGUAAGGUAACGGCUUACCAAGGCAACGAUGCAUAGCCGACCUGAGAGGGUGAUCGGCCACACUGGAACUGAGACACGGUCCAGACUCCUACGGGAGGCAGCAGUAGGGAAUCUUCCGCAAUGGGCGAAAGCCUGACGGAGCAACGCCGCGUGAGUGAUGAAGGUCUUCGGAUCGUAAAACUCUGUUAUUAGGGAAGAACAUAUGUGUAAGUAACUGUGCACAUCUUGACGGUACCUAAUCAGAAAGCCACGGCUAACUACGUG